GCUUCGCCCCGAGAUGAUAGUGUUGUUGAACAUGAGCUUUUUCUAGUAUAUCUUGAUGCCUCAAUCUGUUCUAGCUAACUGUUUAGGAGGAAUACAUAAGCUCCCCCUUUAAAUUAUCCGGUUAUUCCUUACAGGCACCUUAAGAUACCUUGUUCCUAUUGAACCCCUGAAUUCAUAAGAAGAUGUGUCAGUUAAACACAUCUGGCUGACCUGGCACUCAACGUGAGCCUGCAUUUGUAGCGUGAUAACACUCGCCUCCUACGUGGAAAUUAAACUAAUUAAAACACAACACAUUUUCCCUCUAUUUUUAAUUUACACAUCAUCUGAGUUAAGGAAAACCCCCAUUUUCAUUUUUAUUUUAUCAUCAGAAAGCUCUUCGGCUCUUCCCCCAUUUUCAAACUUCCGAAGAAACCCUAGAGAAAUCAGGUAAAUUCAUUAGUUAAAGACAAAAUUAUGGAAGAAAUUUCAAUGUCGUAGUGUCUUUGGCUGAUUUGAGGAAGAAAUUUCAACUAGAUCAGUCAAAAAUAACGAUUUGUUGCUCAACCCUCUAAGGUUAACUUUGAAAAAGUUGGGGAAUCCAGUGGUCCGCCAUAGUUUCCGCCAAGCAAACAAGGUAGCAGACGUUUUGUCCAGAUUCGGUGCCGAGCUAACAAUGACCAAUAACCCACUUAUCCUACUAACUCCAACGGACAAAGCAAAGGAGAAGCUAAAAGCAGAUCAAGAUUGAGUGUGUCAUCUAAUAAAAUAGUAGUAUGGUCAACGUGUAAUAAGUUAGUCCGUUUUGAUAACCUAUCUGUAAUCGCUAGUACUGUUUUUGACCUCCUGUUGAGACAUGGUUCGAAGAUGAUGAAAAACACGUAAUGGAUCGGAGCUCCUUAUCUAGUUUAAAUUCAAAAAGAAGCUACUUUAUUAUCAA